rnacentral:rRNA from 1 species
AACCGAAGGGCUUGCUCUUCGGGGUUGUGGAUCAGCAAAAAGGACGGAAGACCUUAGCAGAAGAGGAUUGGAAAGUCCCGCCAGAGAGGGUAAAAGCCCCUUACGCGAAAAGGUCAAACGACGAGCUGACACCAGAGUACCGCAGGACACGAGAAAUCCGGUGGGAAGCCGGGAGGACCACCUCCCAAGCCUAAAUACGAAUUGGUGACCGAUAGCGCAUAGUACCGUGAGGGAAAGGUGAAAAGAACCCCGGGAGGGGAGUGAAAGAGAACCUGAAACCCUGUGUUUACAAGCAGUGAAAGUGCAAGUUAGGCACGAUCACGUACUUUUUGUAGAACGGACCGGCGAGUUACGUUAUGCAGCAAGGUUAAGAACUGAAGGUUCGGAGCCGAAGCGAAAGCGAGUCUGAAUAGGGCGAUAGUUGCAUGACGUAGACCCGAAACCGGGUGACCUAUCCAUGAGCAGGUUGAAGUGGAGGUAAAGCUCCAUGGAGGACCGAACCAGACGUCUGUUGAAAAAGGCGGGGAUGACUUGUGGAUAGGGGAGAAAUUCCAAUCGAACCCGGAGAUAGCUGGUUCUCCUCGAAAUAGCUUUAGGGCUAGCCUCAUGGAUCAUUGAUGGGGGUAGAGCACUGAAUGUGCGCGGGGGCCACAAAGCCUACCAAACGCUAUCAAACUACGAAUACCAUACAAUGCAGACCAUGGGAGUCAGUCCGCGAGAGAUAAGUUCCGCGGGCAAAAGGGGAACACCCCAGAUCAACCGCUAAGGUCCCCAAGUUCACGUUAAGUGGAGAAGGAUGUGGGAUUGCACAGACAACCAGGAUGUUGGCUCAGAAGCAGCCACACAUUUAAAGAGUGCGUAAUAGCUCACUGGUCGAGUGAUUGUGCGCCGAAGAUGUCCGGGGCUAAACGUGACACCGAAGCGAUGGGUGCGUCUGAAGAAGAUGCGCGGUAGAGGAGCAAUGUGCAGAGGCAGAAGCCGUAUCGAGAGGCACGGUGGACACUGCACAAGAGAGAAUGCCGGUAUGAGUAGCGAGAGGCAUGCGAGAAACAUGCCCGUCGAAAGCCCAAGGUUUCCUGGGGAAGGUUCAUCCGCCCAGGGUAAGUCGGGGCCUAAGCCGAGGACGGAAGUCGUAGGCGAUGGACAGCAGGUGUAGAUUCCUGCACUACCGAUGGAAUGAAGCAGUGACACAGAAGGAUAACUCGAGCAGGGUGAUGGUCAACCCUGUGCAAGCAUCAAGGUUGGGUUGUAGUGAAGUACGCAAUCCUAUAAGCUGAGGUGUGAUGCGGACCGAAAUUUCAGUAGGGAAGCGAGUGAGUUCACGCUGGCGAGAAAAGCUGCUAGUAUAUCCAAAGGUACCCGUACCGGAAACCGACGCAGGUGGGCGAGGAGAGAAUCCUGAGACGAACGGGAGAACCCUUGUUAAGGAACUCGGCAAAAUGACCCCGUAACUUCGGGAUAAGGGGUGCCUGCGAGAGCAGGCCGCAGAGAAUAGUCACAAGCGACUGUUUAGCAAAAACACAGGUAUCUGCGAAAGCGAGAGCUGACGUAUAGGUGCUGACACCUGCCCGGUGCUGGAAGGUUAAGGGAACAUGUUAGAGCAAUCGAAGCAUCGAACCGAAGCCCCAGUAAACGGCGGCCGUAACUAUAACGGUCCUAAGGUAGCGAAAUUCCUUGUCGGGUAAGUUCCGACCCGCACGAAUGGUGUAACGACUUGUGAGCUGUCUCAACAGGGGGCCCGGUGAAAUUGAAGUAUGGGUGAAGAUGCCCAUUACCCGCGACUGGACGGAAAGACCCCGUAGAGCUUUACUGCAGCCUGAUAUUGAGUUUCGGUAACUGAUGCACAGGAUAGGUGGGAGUCUGAGAGACAUGGGUUUCGGCUCGUGUGGAGACGCUGUUGGGAUACCACUCUUCGGUUACUGAAAUUCUAACAUAGCUCUGUGAAACCAGAGGAUGGACAGUGUCAGGUGGACAGUUUGACUGGGGCGGUCGCCUCCGAAAGAGUAACGGAGGCGU